UGAUAUCAGGUAAGAGUACCCACUGGAUUUAAGCAUAUAACUAAGUGGAGGAAAAGAAACUAACAAGGAUUCCCCUAGUAACGGCGAGUGAAGCGGGAAGAGCUCAAUCUUAAAAUCUCUAUAUUAAAUUGUAGUGAAUUGUAGUCUAUUGAAUUGGUUUUGCAAUGAACAUAUGGAAAAGUCCCUUGGAAGAGGGCAGCAUAGAGGGUGAUACUCCCGUCUUUGCCGUAUGAUUUAUUGUAUUAAUUCCUCUUUCAUUGAGUCGAGCUGCUUGGGAAUGCAGCUCAAAGCAGGUGGUAAAUUCCAUCUAAAGCUAAAUAUGUGUGUAAGACCGAUAGCGAACAAGUACCGUGAGGGAAAGAUGAAAAGAACUUUGAAAAGAGAGUUAAACAGUACCUGAAACUGCUGAAAGGGAAUCGGAUUGUUGCCAGUGUGAUCCAAUACAUAUUUCAAUAGUGAGUAAUCGUUGUUGCCCUGUGUGUUGGUGUGAUGUUAGGGUCAAUUGAUUUUGCAAGAAAUUGGUAAGAGGGAGGUAGGUGAUAUUUUCGGAUAUGACUAUUAUAUUCUUUUGCUAGUGUUGUGAAUGAGAUUGAGGAAACAAUGUGCAAUUUAUUUACUUUUCAUCUUUUUUGACUUAUUUAUUUUACAGCUUGCUGUUAUUUAAGUAAUGUUUUGAGAAACUUGAUAUGUAGACAAUGCCAUUCGGGACCCUGACAAAAUGGAGCAAUCUGUCCCGUCUUGAAACACGGACCAAGGAGUCUAACAUGUAUGCAAGUAUUUAAGUGGUAAACUUAAAUGCAUAAUGAAAGUGAAUUAAAGCAUUUAGCUUUAUAAGGUAGGAAGAGUUUUACUCUGCACUAUCAACCGAUCUAGAACCUUCGGGUAAAAGAUUUGAGUAUGAGCAUGUAUGUUGGUACCCGAAAGAUGGUGAACUAUGCCUGAAUAGGGUGAAGCCAGGGGAAACUCUGGUGGAGGCUCGUAGCGGUUCUGACGUGCAAAUCGAUCGUCAAAUUUGGGUAUAGGGGCGAAAGACUAAUCGAACCAUCUAGUAGCUGGUUCCCUCCGAAAUUUCCCUCAGGAUAGCA
rnacentral:rRNA from 1 species